rnacentral:rRNA from 2 species
AAACCGGGGCUAAUACCGGAUAACAUUUUGAACUGCAUGGUUCGAAAUUGAAAGGCGGCUUCGGCUGUCACUUAUGGAUGGACCCGCGUCGCAUUAGCUAGUUGGUGAGGUAACGGCUCACCAAGGCAACGAUGCGUAGCCGACCUGAGAGGGUGAUCGGCCACACUGGGACUGAGACACGGCCCAGACUCCUACGGGAGGCAGCAGUAGGGAAUCUUCCGCAAUGGACGAAAGUCUGACGGAGCAACGCCGCGUGAGUGAUGAAGGCUUUCGGGUCGUAAAACUCUGUUGUUAGGGAAGAACAAGUGCUAGUUGAAUAAGCUGGCACCUUGACGGUACCUAACCAGAAAGCCACGGCUAACUACGUGCCAGCAGCCGCGGUAAUACGUAGGUGGCAAGCGUUAUCCGGAAUUAUUGGGCGUAAAGCGCGCGCAGGUGGUUUCUUAAGUCUGAUGUGAAAGCCCACGGCUCAACCGUGGAGGGUCAUUGGAAACUGGGAGACUUGAGUGCAGAAGAGGAAAGUGGAAUUCCAUGUGUAGCGGUGAAAUGCGUAGAGAUAUGGAGGAACACCAGUGGCGAAGGCGACUUUCUGGUCUGUAACUGA